rnacentral:rRNA from 1 species
GCAUAUCAAUAAGCGGAGGAAAAGAAACCAACCGGGAUUGCCUUAGUAACGGCGAGUGAAGCGGCAAAAGCUCAAAUUUGAAAUCUGGUACCUUCGGUGCCCGAGUUGUAAUUUGGAGAGGGCAACUUUGGGGCCGUUCCUUGUCUAUGUUCCUUGGAACAGGACGUCAUAGAGGGUGAGAAUCCCGUGUGGCGAGGAGUGCGGUUCUUUGUAAAGUGCCUUCGAAGAGUCGAGUUGUUUGGGAAUGCAGCUCUAAGUGGGUGGUAAAUUCCAUCUAAAGCUAAAUAUUGGCGAGAGACCGAUAGCGAACAAGUACAGUGAUGGAAAGAUGAAAAGAACUUUGAAAAGAGAGUGAAAAAGUACGUGAAAUUGUUGAAAGGGAAGGGCAUUUGAUCAGACAUGGUGUUUUGUGCCCUCUGCUCCUUGUGGGUAGGGGAAUCUCGCAUUUCACUGGGCCAGCAUCAGUUUUGGUGGCAGGAUAAAUCCAUAGGAAUGUAGCUUGCCUCGGUAAGUAUUAUAGCCCGUGGGAAUACUGCCAGCUGGGACUGAGGACUGCGACGUAAGUCAAGGAUGCUGGCAUAAUGGUUAUAUGCCGCCCGUCUUGAAACACGGACC